CUUAAAAAUGAAAAAAAAAAUUAGCAUCAAUGUUUAGCUGGAGUCUUGCAACUCGCGAUGAUAAUGGUUGACCCGCUAAAAACCCGUUUGGUUUCGGGUAAACCUUUCGACGUUCAAUUGAAUUUGCUCGGUACAAUUCAAACCCUUCCGACUCUUGCCGACUUCGAUUUCUGUAUGUAAUUCCUGAAUUGUUUUCGUCGGAGCUGGGCUUCUUCGAGUUGGGAGGACUCGCUGUAGACGGCGUCGAGGAGGCUCUCGUGAAUUGGGAUCGGAAGUUCCUAUUUGGGAGUUGGAGGAGUCCAAGCUUGACUGCCUCUCUCUCUUGCUUUCUCUCUAGAAACCCCAACAGUUGACUCUAAUCCCUCUCUCUCUCUGACUUUGUUUUUGUGGAAUCAUUUAAUUGGGAUAAGCUGCUUGAGCUGAGCACAUUUAUAAUUUUGGAUAUAUAAUGCUUCAAUUGUUUCUAUCAGAGCCCAUCUGGAAUGACAAUGGAGAUGAGAAUUCUGCCAAGAUUAGAGUAUCUCUCUUGAGUCAAUUGGAAUCUACUAUUUGGUUGUUCAUGGCAUCUGGAGGCCGUUCAGAGGCUCGACUGUGGCUUUGUAACACAAUAGGCAGAAUAAGUUCUCUCACUCGUCACAAUCAGUGCGAGUUACUUUUGGACUUGCUGAGAUCUAAACCCCUUAAGAAGGGCUUCGCAUCUCAGCUUGUAGAAAUGAUAUUUGAGAAUAGUCCACAUAAAGCAGGGUCUAUCAUAUCCAAGCGAAGUUACACACUAAAGAAAUUUUUUGAAGGAAAUCCAACACGAAUAUCUAAAUGGUUUUCUAAAGCUGGUGGUGGAUUGGGGCAUGAACCAGGUGCUAAGGCGCUAUCACAAUUUUCUUUUGUUAAUCGAGAUACUUGUUGGGAGGAACUUGAGUGGAAGGGAAAACAUGGGCAAUCGCCAGCAGUGGUUGCUACAAAGCCCCAUUACUUUCUUGAUUUGGAUGUCCAGGCAACUGUGGAGAAUUUCCUUGAAAAUGUCCCUGAAUUUUGGUCCUCCAAUGAGUUUUCUGAGUCACUUAAAGAUGGUGAAAUUCUGUUUGUUGACAGAAAAUAUUUUGUCGAAUAUUUUGUUGAUCUGAUGUAUAAAGAGGAUUCAAAAGAUGUUUGGAAAGUUACAAGUGAGUUCCUGAAGGAGGAGUGUUUUUCUUCCUUAUGCAAGCGCCUUCUUAUUACUCUUGAUGAGUCGGAUUUAUGUGAUUUUCUUAAAAUGCUUUUCAAGUAUCUCAACCCUAGAAUGGAGCAGAAGGAUCUUAUGGACUCAUCUUAUUUGUUUGAGGUUAUACUUUCUAAGUGUGCGGAUUUUAGAAGCUUUGAUGAGAUAUUACUGUUAAAUGCAGUUUUUAAUCAUGGACGCCAACUUUUACGACUUCUACGAGAUGAAGAGGGCCACGAAGAACAAGCAAGAAUUAAAGAUAUUGUUUCGAAGAUCUGCACAAUCCCAAGUGAUGACAGUAGCUUGGGCCCAAUAAUCAAAGAUUGCUUUAAAAUGAAGAAUAUACAAGCAUGCAAGUUGCUGGGGCUUCAGUCAUGGGUUAUUUAUUACAGUUUAUCAGAACAAUGCCGGACUCAUGAUUCUUGGGAAUCAUUAUUUUUGUGUAAUGCAAUAAGUUUCCGAACAUCAGAUAGAUAUUCAUUUCUGGACAAUCAAGGAGCCUAUGAAGAAGGUGGUUCUGAUUUGGAUCGUAAAGCAUCCAAAACAGUUAAGCACAAGAAAAAGCAUAGCAGUAGAAGGAAAAGAAAAAAAAGGGACUUUGAUCACAAUGACAGCUAUGACAAUGAGGUGCUGGAUUUGCAAUCAAAUGUUGGAAGUUGGUUUCUCUCAAUUGAUGAGUAUUCUGCAUCAUGGAAUAUUGAGGAUUUACCUGAAUAUGUUUCCAAGUAUUGCUUAUCUACAUGGAUGAAGUGGGUGCUUGAACAAUGGGGUCAAUAAGUUUCAUUGGGUAUAUAGGAUUAUACAUCUUAUUCUCCAAUGCCUGGACAACUAUCAGUAAGUAGGUAAUAUGAACAUUGUCGAUUCUUGAACUGUCACUUGAUGGAUAUAAGAAAGAAUUUACCAUGAGGCAUAGUAUAGAAGGCCGUCCUACUUGGUGUGGCUAUCAAUGUUUGCCAAUACUAUGGUGCUCAUUUUUGUGCAAGAUUCUUAUUGAAAGUGUGGCAUCCACAAGGCUAUUGACAUUUGACGAGAUUUUCUGGCAUUGAAGUCCAAUACAUGAAAGUAAAAGUGUGACAUCCAUAAGGUUAUUCACAUUUGACAAGAUUUGCUGGUUUUGAAGUCCAAGAUAUGAAUACUACAGCAGGUUCAUGUUUAGAGAUGAAGUGUCGGUGGUUUACAUCUAAAUGCUUUUGUUGAAAGGUUGGGUUCUCUUUCACUGAUGAGAAUUUGUCAAAUGACAAACUGGAUUACCAGUUGGUAUGCACAUCGAGCAGCUGCCUUUUCGACUAUGUGAAUAGUUUCUGGUUGGGGUAGAACUAUCCAAGGUAUUUGAUUGCUACUUUGGUACUUGUGUUUCCAAAAGAAAUGUUGUAAUAUUUUCUGUAUCUCAUGCAUCGCCCACCCGAGGACAUGUAUAUGUUGGAUGAAGGCUUGAAUCAUCUGACGUCGACCAAAUGUCUGAUUGAAGAUAAGAAGACAAUCCUUAGGGUUACAAAUUCGAAAUAAGUUUCUACAGGCUUGCGGCACAGAAGUUAUGCUUGCUGAGAUAGAAGCAAAACUGCCCAACUCUGAAUGUACAGCACAGUGAGUUCCCAUUCUUCUUACAGAAGAAAGGAGAAAGUUGGUAAGCCUCGUUCUUCAGAUGGUAGAAAGGAUGCAAAGUUUAAGCGAGCCUACUACGAGCGAGAGGUUUGAUAUUGAUCGUGCUCAAAUUAAAUAUUUAAUCUUUCGAUGACUGGAAGGACAGACUCGGUUCAGGUUUGCAUGCUCGCUACUAUCUGAAGUGCAACGUUUACCAGCUCUCUCUUUUCUCAUUUUAGUAGAGAUUAUAGGACUCAUAUUAUUGCAGUUUAGGAGAUGGACGACCUGCGUUUCGUUUUCCUAGAAAGCAUAACGUUUUACUUCAAGCUUGUAGAAACUUAUUUUGAAUGUGUUAAAUGAUGUGGGGCUCUUUAUCUUGAAA